UAUUGGGAGUAGGGAGAGAGAGAG
rnacentral:piRNA from 1 species